UACGAAGGGGGCUAGCGUUGCUCGGAAUCACUGGGCGUAAAGCGCACGUAGGCGGCUUUUUACGUCAGGGGUGAAAUCCUGGAGCUCAACUCCAGAACUGCCUUUGAUACUGGCGAUCUUGAGUCCGGGAGAGGUGAGUGGAACUGCGAGUGUAGAGGUGAAAUUCGUAGAUAUUCGCAAGAACACCAGUGGCGAAGGCGGCUCACUGGCCCGGUACUGACGCUGAGGUGCGAAAGCGUGGGGAGCAAACAGG
rnacentral:rRNA from 1 species